AUACAUGCAGUCGAGCGGACAUUUUAUUGUGUGCUUGCACCUUUAAAAUUUUACCGGCGGAUGGGUGAGUAACACGUGGGUAACCUAACUGAUAGAUUGGGAUAACUCCGGGAAACCGGGGCUAAUACCGAAUAAUACUUUUUAACACAUGUUUAAAAAUUGAAAGACGGUUUCGGCUGUCACUAUAACAUGGACCCGCGGCGCAUUAGCUAAUUGGUGAGGUAACGGCUCACCAAGGCAACGAUGCAUAUCCGACCUGAGAGGGUGAUCGGCCAACCUGGGACUGACACACAGCCCAAACUCCUACGGGAGGCAGCAGUAGGGAAUCUUCCACAAUGGACGAAAGUCUGAUGGACCAACGCCGCGUGAGUGAAGAAGGAUUUCGGAUCGUAAAACUCUGUUGCUAAGGGAAAAACAAAUAAAGUAGUAACUGGCUGCUACCUUGACGGUACCUUGUCUAGAAAGCCACGGCUAACUACGUGCCACCAGCCGCGGUAAUACGUAGGUGGCAACCGUUGUCCCGGAAAUUAUUGGGCGUAAAGCGCGGCGCAAGGUGGUUCCCUUAAGUCUGAUGUGAAAGGCCCCCCGGCUCAACCGUGGAAGGGUCAUUGGAAACUGGGGGACUUGAGUGGCAGAAGAGGAGAGUGGAAUUUCAAGUGGUAGCGGUGAAAUGCGUAGAGGAUUUGGAGGAACCCCAGUGGCGAAGGCGACUGUUUUGGUUUGUAACUGACACUGAGGCGCGAAAGCGUGGGGAGCAAACAGGAUUAGAUACCCUGGUAGUUCACGCCGUAAACGAUGAGUGCUAAGUGUUAGGGGGUUUUCGCCCCUUAGUGGUGCAGCUAACGCAUUUAGCACUCCGCCUGGGGAGUACGGUCGCCAGGCUGAAACUCAAAGGAAUUGACGGGGGCCCGCACCAGCGGUGGAGCAUGUUGGUUAAUUUGAAGCAACGGGAAGAACCUUACCCGGUUUUGACAUCCCGGUGACCCCUAUGGAGAAAUAGGUUCCCCUUUGGGGGCAACGGUGACAGGUGGUGCAUGGUUGUUGUCAGCUUGUGUUGUGAGAUGUUGGGUUAAGUCCCGCAACGAGCGCAACCCUUUUUUUUAGUUGCCAUCCUUCAGUUGGGCACUUUAAGGAGACUGCCGGUGAUAAACCGGAGGAAGGUGGGGAAGAAGUCAAAUCAUCAUGCCCCUUAUGACCUGGGGUACCCACGUGGUACAAUGGACGGUACAAACGGUUGCCAACCCGCGAGGGGGAAGUAAUUCCAUAAAACCGUUUUCAGUUUGGAUUGUAGGGUGCAAAUUGCCUACCUGAAACCGGAAUUGGUUGUAAUUGGGGAUCAGCAUGCCGCGGUGAAUACGUUUCCGGGCCUUGGUCACACCGCCCGUCACCCCCCGAGAGUUUGUAACACCCGAAGUCGGUGAGGUAACCUUUAUGGAGCCAGCCG
rnacentral:rRNA from 1 species